GUGCUCACUUCAGCAGCACAUAUACUAAAACUGGAACAAUACACAGAUUAGCAUGGCCCCUCCACAAGGAUGACAUGCAAAUUCAUGAAGAAUUACAUUUUUUU
ensembl:snRNA U6 U6 spliceosomal RNA